rnacentral:tRNA from 1 species
UCGGGGCGUGGCGCAGAUCGGAUAGCGCACUAGCUUGGGGUGCUAGGGGUCGCUGGUUCAAAUCCAGUCGCCCCGAU